UUACGGCCACAUCAUGUUGAAACACUUGUUCCUGUACAAUCAAGCGAAGUUAAGCAAUGUUGAGCCUAGUCAAUACCUAGAUGGGUGCCCACUUGGGAACACCAGGUGUU